rnacentral:rRNA from 1 species
CCUACGGGGGGCUGCAGUGAGGAAUAUUGGUCAAUGGCCGGAAGGCUGAACCAGCCAUGCCGCGUGAAGGUCAGUGCCCUAUGGGCGUUAAACUUCUUUUGUGCGGGAGCAAUAAUGGUCACGUGUAGCAGGACGAGAGUACCGUACGAAAAAGCAUCCGCUAACUCCGUGCCAGCAGCGGCGGUAAUACGGGGGGUGCAAGCGUUUUCCGGAUUUUUUGGGUUUAAAGGGUGCGUACGCUGGGAGGUAAGUCAGCGGUGAAAUGCCCCCGCUCAACGGGGUGAAGUGACAUUGAUACUGCCUUGCUGGAAUGCGGAUGCCGUGGGAGGAAUGUGUGGUGUAGCGGUGAAAUUCAUAGAUAUCACACAGAACACCGAUUGCGAAGGCAUCUCACGAAUCCGCGAUUGACGCUGAUGCACGAAAGCGUGGGUAUCAAACAGGAUUAGAUACCCCAGUAGUC